AGAGCGAACGCUGGCGGCAUGCUUAACACAUGCAAGUCUCACGGGCAGCAAUGUCAGUGGCGGACGGGUGAGUAACGCGUAGGUAUCUAUCCAUGGGUGGGGGAUAACGUCGGGAAACUGACGCUAAUACCGCAUGACAUCUGAGGAUCAAAGGCGCGAGUCGCCUGUGGAGGAGCCUGCGUACGAUUAGCUAGUUGGUGGGGUAAAGGCCUACCAAGGCGACGAUCGUUAGCUGGUCUGAGAGGAUGAUCAGCCACACUGGGACUGAGACACGGCCCAGACUCCUACGGGAGGCAGCAGUGGGGAAUAUUGGACAAUGGGCGAAAGCCUGAUCCAGCAAUGCCGCGUGUGUGAAGAAGGUCUUCGGAUUGUAAAGCACGUUUCGGCGGGGACGAUGAUGACGGUACCCGCAGAAGAACGCCCCGGCUAACUUCGCGCCAGCAGCCGC
rnacentral:rRNA from 1 species